rnacentral:rRNA from 1 species
AUGUAUACCAUCUUCGAGGGAGUACGAAAGUUAGUCUCUGUUGCUUCUGUAUCAAUUUACUAUAUUACUGCAAAGAAUGACGAUGAGGCCGACCGCGGACGCUUUGUGCUCUCCACCGGCCAUGGAUGCAUGCUCCAGUACGCUCCACUCCAACUCGCCGGAUACCAAGGCAUUACGGGAUGGGUUAGGGUUUGCUGCUGGAUCCAGCGUUUUUCUGUUGAUGGUUGUCGUCUGCUCGUGCUCUCUAUUGUCGGACUGCUGGGAUCUCCCGUUGUUGUGGUUGGCUCGACAGUUAUGAUUUUUGUCGAUGGUCCCAUUGCAGUUCAUUUGAAGCAAAAGAAAGGCAUGCAGACUUGGAUAUCCGAUUAA